CAACCUGCCGAUGACUCGGGGAUAGCCUUUCGAAAGAAAGAUUAAUACCCGAUGGUAUAUCUGAAAGGCAUCUUUCAGCUAUUAAAGAAUUUCGGUCAUUGAUGGGGAUGCGUUCCAUUAGGUUGUUGGCGGGGCAACGGCCCACCAAGCCAUCGAUGGAUAGGGGUUCUGAGAGGAAGGUCCCCCACAUUGGAACUGAGACACGGUCCAAACUCCUACGGGAGGCAGCAGUGAGGAAUAUUGGUCAAUGGACGAGAGUCUGAACCAGCCAAGUAGCGUGAAGGAUGACUGCCCUAUGGGUUGUAAACUUCUUUUAUACGGGAAUAAAGUUAGGCACGUGUGCUUUUUUGUAUGUACCGUAUGAAUAAGGAUCGGCUAACUCCGUGCCAGCAGCCGCGGUAAUACGGAGGAUCCGAGCGUUAUCCGGAUUUAUUGGGUUUAAAGGGAGCGUAGGCGGAUGCUUAAGUCAGUUGUGAAAGUUUGCGGCUCAACCGUAAAAUUGCAGUUGAUACUGGGUGUCUUGAGUACAGUAGAGGCAGGCGGAAUUCGUGGUGUAGCGGUGAAAUGCUUANAUAUCACGAAGAACUCCGAUUG
rnacentral:rRNA from 1 species